rnacentral:rRNA from 1 species
CUACGGGUGGCUGCAGUGAGGAAUAUUGCACAAUGGGGGGAACUCUGAUGCAGCAACGCCGCGUGGAGGAUGACGCAUUUCGGUGUGUAAACUCCUUUUAUAUGUCAAGAAAAUGACGGUAGCAUAUGAAUAAGCACCGGCUAACUCCGUGCCAGCAGCCGCGGUAAUACGGAGGGUGCAAGCGUUACUCGGAAUCACUGGGCGUAAAGGACGCGUAGGCGGGUUGGAAAGUCAGGUGUGAAAUCCUACAGCUUAACUGUAGAACUGCACUUGAAACUUCUAAUCUAGAGGAUGGGAGGGAGAGAUGGAAUUAGUGGUGUAGGGGUAGAAUCCGUAGAUAUCACUAGGAAUACCUAAAGCGAAGGCGAUCUCCUGGAACAUUACUGACGCUAAGGCGUGAAAGCGUGGGGAGCAAACAGGAUUAGAUACCCUCGUAGUC